GCGGGGUGUUAGCAGUUGGUAGCUUGCCACUUUGACUUGGUGGAGGUCGUAGGUUCGAGCCCUACCCCCGCAA
rnacentral:tRNA from 1 species